UCCCCCCUCCGGGCUUCUCGUGCUUUCCUUGCUUAAACUGAUUGCGGACGAGGGCUUCGUGGCUCCGCGAUAGCCGUUGGCCGCGUUGAAUCUCUUGUUCCGUUGUCGCGCACACAGGCGGGCUCCUCGGAACACGCAUAGUCCCUUCAGAUCCAGGCCUCCUUCAUGACCAGUUGAGAAAAGGCACCAGUUUCAGUCGUCCUGGAAAUAUCCUUGGUUUUUUGAAUCAAGCCAUAUGUGGUCAGUUUUAUCCUGAUGACUCACUGAGACCUUCCCUCUUCUCCAGAACUUCAGUUAAUCCAAGUCACACCAGACUUCCACAACACAAAUGCCUGUACCAAUACAGUCCCUACCUGAGAGUGCAAUUCUGUAUCAUGAUGUUUUCCAAAUCAAAAAGCUACCUGAAGGCACAUUAACAUCAUACAAGAAGAACUUCAACCUGGGGAAACAGUAUCUUGGGAAGAAGUUGAGGAGGCACAAGAAUUAGAAGACCAAACAAAAUCAGUGACUAGAAAGCUUAUACCAUCUUUUUAAAUGAGAUAUUCUCAGGAUCUUUCAAAAUGAUUUGUGGCUUAAACUGAAAGUGGAUGACUUCCAUGUCAAUUUUGCUAUUACUCUUCCAAGAACAAUAUCCUGGUGCCCUAUUCAUGUAUGGAGAUGCUUGGCAUACUCAAGCUGAAAACCCCAAGACAAUUUUUAGAGGAAGAUACAGGUCUCUUUUAAUAUUUCCAUUGAGGGAGUGUUAUUACUGGUCUCCCAGAAUGAGAGCUCUGACUGUACAGAUGACACUUCUAAUCUCCAGCAUGUGGUAUAUCUAAAGAUAUUGUACAUUAAUACAAUAAUUCCAGCCUGUAAUUAAGAAUGCUGGAGAUCAGGUAUUCUCAGUAUUCUCAUUUCAGUAAGUUUUCAAGGCAUUUGUGUUAAACCCAGAAACUAAAAAAAAAAAAAAUAAGAAGCAUAUUUUGAAAUG